rnacentral:rRNA from 1 species
UUUUUGUUGUACACUGCUUGUAUAUGUAGAAGAUGGAUACCUGCUGCCGACUGGCAGUCGUAAGCGUGCUACGUGGCGCCUAAUUGUCCAUCUUAUGAGAGAGCUUACAACGCACUGGAUGCAUAUUUACGAGGAUGCUAUAGUGCCACCUUAUUAAAUUGGCGUGCUUAUGGUCAUAGCUGAAGCCUGCGGCCACUCCCAGAGGAUUUUUUGUGCCAUUAGGUAGUUGGUGCGGUAACGGCGCACCAAGGCGAUGAUGGCUAGGGGGUCUGAGAGGAUGAUCCCCCACACUGGGACUGAGACACGGCCCAUACUCCUACGGGAGGCAGCAGUGACGGAAUCUUGCGCAAUGGGGGCAACCCUGACGCAUCCACGCCGCGUGCCGGAAGACGGCCCUAUGGGUUGUAAACGGCUUUUAGGUGGGAAGAAUCUCCCGAAUUGUUCCGGGACUGACGGUACCUGCAGAAUAAGCACCGGCUAACUCCGUGCCACAGCCGUGGUAUCGGAGGGUGGGUGGCA